ensembl:lncRNA
ACACAUUAUAGCACUGAGUGAAUGCAUUAUAGUACUCAGUGAACACAUUACUGUACUGGGUGAAAACAAUACAGUACUGAAUGAACACAUUACAGUAUUGAGUGAACACAUUAUAGCACUGAGUGAACACAUUACAGUACUGAGUGAACACAUUACAGUACUGAGUGAACACAUUAUAGCACUGAGUGAACACAUUACAGUACUGAGUGAACACAUUACAGCACUGAGUGAACACAUUAUAGCACUGAGUGAACACACUAUAGUACUGAGUGAACACACUACAGUACUGAGUGAACGCAUUAUAGUACUGAGUGAACACAUUACAGCACUGAGUGAACACAUUACAGCACUGAGUGAACACAUUACAGCACUGAGUGAACACACUACAGUACUGAGUGAACACAUAACAGUACUGAGUGAACACAUUACAGCACUGAGUGAACACAUUUUAGCAUUGAGUGAACACAUUUUAGCAUUGAGCGAACCCACUAUAGUACUGAGUGAACACAUUACAGUGCUGAGUGAAUACAGUACAGUACUCGUUGAAUACAUUACAGUACUGAGUGAACAAAUUACAGCACUGAGUGUACACAUUACAGUACUACAUGAAAACAUUAACGUACCAACAAAAUACAUUACAGUACUGAAUCAGCAUAUUUCAGGACUGAGUGAAUACAUUACAGUACUCCAUGAAAACAUUAAUGUACCAACAAAAUACAAAGAGUACCAACAAAAAAAUAGAGUACUGUAUAGAACACAUUACAAUACUCGAUGAAUACAUUUAAGUUCCAAAGACAUUAACGUUCUAAACACAUUACAGUGCUGAAUGAAUACAUUACAGUAUGGAGCGAACACAUUAACUGAACAAAUACAUUAUAUUACCAAUUGAAUACACUGCAGUACUGAAUAAACAAAUUGCAGUACUGAACUAAUGAAAGUACUGAACACAUAGAAUUCUCAAUUAAUGUUUCAGUAUCAAAUGAAAUACAGUGCUGAAUUAAUACACUUCAGUACUGAAUGAACACAACAGUUUUCAAUCACUACAUGAAG